rnacentral:tRNA from 1 species
GCCUCUGUAGCUCAAUGGAUAGAGCACUUGACUUCGGAUCAAGGGGCUGCGGGUUCGAAUCCUGCCAGAGGCGCCU